rnacentral:rRNA from 1 species
UUCGUUAACGAACGAGACCUUAACCUGCUAAAUAGCCAGGUCGGCUUCUGCUGAUCGCCGGCUUCUUAGAGGGACUGUCAGCGUCUAGCUGACGGAAGUUUGAGGCAAUAACAGGUCUGUGAUGCCCUUAGAUGUUCUGGGCCGCACGCGCGCUACACUGAUACGUUCAUCGAGCUUACAACCUUGACUGAGAGGUCUGGGUAAUCUUUAAAUCGUAUCGUGCUGGGGAUAGAUUAUUGUAAUUUUUAAUCUUCAACGAGGAAUUCCUAGUAAACGCGAGUCAUCAGCUCGCAUUGAUUACGUCCCUGCCCUUUGUACACACCGCCCGUCGCUAGUACCGAUUGAAUGGAUG